rnacentral:rRNA from 1 species
AGUCAAGUAAUUAAGUGCAUGUGGUGGAUGCCUUGGCAGUCAGAGGCGAUGAAAGACGUGAUAGCCUGCGAAAAGCUCCGGGGAGGCGGCAAAUAUCCUUUGAUCCGGAGAUGUCUGAAUGGGGGAACCCACCUACUUUAAGGUAGGUAUUGCAACAUGAAUACAUAGUGUUGCAAGGCGAACGAGGGGAAGUGAAACAUCUCAGUACCCUUAGGAAAAGAAAUCAAUUGAGAUUCCCUCAGUAGCGGCGAGCGAACGGGGAUCAGCCCAUUAAGUUAUGUGUGUUUUAGUGGAACGCUCUGGGAAGUGCGAACGUAGAGGGUGAUAUUCCCGUACACGAAAGGGCACACAUAAUGAUGACGAGUAGGGCGAGGCACGUGAAACCUUGUCUGAAUAUGGGGGGACCAUCCUCCAAGGCUAAAUACUCCUGACUGACCGAUAGUGAACCAGUACCGUGAGGGAAAGGCGAAAAGAACCCCUGUGAGGGGAGUGAAAUAGAUCCUGAAACCGCAUGCAUACAAGCAGUGGGAGCACCUUCGUGGUGUGACUGCGUACCUUUUGUAUAAUGGGUCAGCGACUUAUAUUCAG